rnacentral:misc_RNA from 1 species
GUAAAAUAUACUUUUCUAUUUGUAUUUUCGAGUCAUAAGGAGAUGGAAAUGAGCCACACUAAAACUUCCUUGCCAAUUGAGGGGGAAAUUUUCACAAAGCUUAAGGGGAAAGGAAGAAGAGAUAGCAGCGUGUGAAAAAACAAAUUACAAUAGUGGAAGGAACAAUCUACUACAGUUGAUUUCAAUUCUAACUAAUAAACAGCAUUAUGCUGAUAAAACUGUGUGUAUGUGUAAUCACCAUCAUCAUCAUCAUUUUCCUGUUCAAAUCAACUGACCAAAAAAAUUCUGCAAAAUUAU